UGCUCACUCUCUUCUGUCAA
rnacentral:snRNA from 1 species